rnacentral:rRNA from 1 species
UACGUAGGGUGCAAGCGUUAAUCGGAAUUACUGGGCGUAAAGCGUGCGCAGGCGGUGAUGUAAGACAGAUGUGAAAUCCCCGGGCUCAACCUGGGAACUGCAUUUGUGACUGCAUGGCUAGAGUACGGUAGAGGGGGGAUGGAAUUCCGCGUGUAGCAGUGAAAUGCGUAGAUAUGCGGAGGAACACCGAUGGCGAAGGCAAUCCCCCUGGACCUGUACUGACGCUCAUGCACGAAAAGCGUGGGGGAGCAAACAGG